UGUAAGCGUAUACCAAAGUUGUUGCAGUUAAAACGCUCGUAGUCGGAAUUUGGCAGUUCCGGAUGUGUGCACGUCGUGUGCGCACUUCGCGGGGAUUGCUUUUGUGGUCUUGCGUAGGAUGAGGCACUUUUAUUAGUGAACGUCCUCACGCAACCACUUUUUACUGUGAGAAAAUCAGAGUGCUCAAAGCAGGCAUUUGCCGUGAAUGUAUUAGCAUGGAAUAAUAGAAUAGGACUUGGUUCUAUUUUGUUGGUUUGUUGGGACUGAGUAAUGAUUAAGAGGGACAGUUGGGGGCAUUUGUAUUUCGGCGCUAGAGGUGAAAUUCUUAGAUUGGCGAAAGACAAACUGCUGCGAAAGCGUCUGCCAAGGAUGUUUUCAUUGA
rnacentral:rRNA from 1 species